rnacentral:rRNA from 1 species
UACACAUGCAAGUCGAGCGGGGAAAAGUAGCUUGCUACUGGACCUAGCGGCGGACGGGUGAGUAAUGCUUAGGAAUCUGCCUAUUAGUGGGGGACAACAUCUCGAAAGGGAUGCUAAUACCGCAUACGUCCUACGGGAGAAAGCAGGGGACCUUCGGGCCUUGCGCUAAUAGAUGAGCCUAAGUCGGAUUAGCUAGUUGGUGGGGUAAAGGCCUACCAAGGCGACGAUCUGUAGCGGGUCUGAGAGGAUGAUCCGCCACACUGGGACUGAGACACGGCCCAGACUCCUACGGGAGGCAGCAGUGGGGAAUAUUGGACAAUGGGGGGAACCCUGAUCCAGCCAUGCCGCGUGUGUGAAGAAGGCCUUUUGGUUGUAAAGCACUUUAAGCGAGGAGGAGGCUACCGAGAUUAAUACUCUUGGAUAGUGGACGUUACUCGCAGAAUAAGCACCGGCUAACUCUGUGCCAGCAGCCGCGGUAAUACAGAGGGUGCAAGCGUUAAUCGGAUUUACUGGGCGUAAAGCGCGCGUAGGUGGCCAAUUAAGUCAAAUGUGAAAUCCCCGAGCUUAACUUGGGAAUUGCAUUCGAUACUGGUUGGCUAGAGUAUGGGAGAGGAUGGUAGAAUUCCAGGUGUAGCGGUGAAAUGCGUAGAGAUCUGGAGGAAUACCGAUGGCGAAGGCAGCCAUCUGGCCUAAUACUGACACUGAGGUGCGAAAGCAUGGGGAGCAAACAGGAUUAGAUACCCUGGUAGUCCAUGCCGUAAACGAUGUCUACUAGCCGUUGGGGCCUUUGAGGCUUUAGUGGCGCAGCUAACGCGAUAAGUAGACCGCCUGGGGAGUACGGUCGCAAGACUAAAACUCAAAUGAAUUGACGG